rnacentral:rRNA from 1 species
AUUGAACGCUGGCGGCAUGCUUCACACAUGCAAGUCGAACGGCAGCGGGGGCUUCGGCCUGCCGGCGAGUGGCGAACGGGUGAGUAAUGCAUCGGAACGUGCCCAUGUCGUGGGGGAUAACGUAUCGAAAGGUACGCUAAUACCGCAUACGUCCUGAGGGAGAAAGCGGGGGACCGUAAGGCCUCGCGCGAUUGGAGCGGCCGAUGUCGGAUUAGCUAGUUGGUGAGGUAAAGGCUCACCAAGGCGACGAUCCGUAGCGGGUCUGAGAGGAUGAUCCGCCACACUGGGACUGAGACACGGCCCAGACUCCUACGGGAGGCAGCAGUGGGGAAUUUUGGACAAUGGGCGCAAGCCUGAUCCAGCCAUGCCGCGUGAGUGAAGAAGGCCUCGGUU